AUAAUAUUCUUGGAUUCUGGCUGUAGUGGCCUUCAGAUACCAUGAAUAAAAUUAAUGGUGAGGUCAUCCUGAAAAAAACCAAACCAACUCACUAUAAAGUAUUGUCGGAGAGGUAAUAUAGUGGCACAGUGGGAUACUAUUCAGCUGCAAAGCAUUCGGCACCACCACACGCUCCUGUCAGGCUUCAUCUCCCUGAAGGUCACAGAUCACUUCGGCAUACUGCACCUAAGCACAUUGGAAAAACUGGGCCUUCCACGUGCAACACUACUGUUGACCAAAUUACUGAUUUUGUAAGUGUAUUUGGCUACAAGUUACAAAGAAACCAAAGUUUCUCUGAAAACUUAAGGAGUGUAGGCUUAUUCUUGCUCUAGCGGUUGACUCUGGUUGAAUUAGGGCUCCUCCCUGCAUUUACAGGUUGAAUGCCAAAGCAACAACCACGACUCGUGAGACACCAACAUAUUUGUGUUCAAGAAGUACAAACAAACAUGAUUCAUUGUGGCUAUGUACGACACGAGGUCCUGCAUGCUUCAGCCUGAAUUAUGCCAUCAUUCCCUACGCGUCAAAACAAUCCAAGCUGGAGGUAUCUGCGAUCAAGGGAGUGCUGCUGAGCAGUG